rnacentral:lncRNA from 1 species
AGUCACUGAAGUACAUGUGGGGUGGGUGCUGAGAGUCUGGAUCCUGAAUACUAUUCCUGAGCAAUAUGGGCACUCAAUCCUGGGCUAGGAUAACCUGAUGCUAUUUCUGGGAGGACCUUACUCAGUGUUUCUGGAGCUUGGGUUUUGCAGAAGACUGUUUAGGCUGCUAAGAGUGUGAGAAAGUUCCAUGCUCAAAUAAUUUUGAAAAAUGCUGUGUUAAGCAAAGGAAAUCCAGCUUCUUUAGCUGGAAGACGUUUGAGAGUGUCUCCUCCUGCACAUACAGCCGAGGUACUGUGGUCACCUGUGGCGGUUCAUCACAGUUCCUCGAUGCCAACUGCGGUUCCAGCUCUGUGUCAUCUUGGAGUCACUGAUCAUCCUAGAAAUGCUCCAGUACACAGCCCCACCAUGUUCUCUGUGCAGCC